rnacentral:rRNA from 1 species
GAUGAACGCUGGCGGAAUGCUUUACACAUGCAAGUCGAACGGCAGCACGGACUUCGGUCUGGUGGAGAGUGGCGAACGGGUGAGUAAUACAUCGGAACGUGCCCAGUCGUGGGGGAUAACGUAGCGAAAGCUACGCUAAUACCGCAUACGAGCUAAGGAUGAAAGCGGGGGAUCGCAAGACCUAGCGCGCGUGGAGCGGACGAUGGCAGAUUAGGUAGUUGGUAGGGUAAAGGCCUACCAAGCAGACGAUCUGUAGCUGGUCUGAGAGGAUGAUCAGCCACACUGGGACUGAGACACGGCCCAGACUCCUACGGGAGGCAGCAGUGGGGAAUUUUGGACAAUGGGCGAAAGCCUGAUCCAGCCAUUCCGCGUGCAGGAUGAAGGCCUUCGGGUUGUAAACUGCUUUUGUACAGAACGAAAAGGCUCUGGUUAAUACCCGGGGCUCAUGACGGUACUGUAAGAAUAAGCACCGGCUAACCCUGUGCCAGCAGCCGCCGUAA